rnacentral:rRNA from 1 species
GACGAACGCUGGCGGCGUGCUUAACACAUGCAAGUCGAACGGAAAGGCCCUGCUUUUGUGGGGUGCUCGAGUGGCGAACGGGUGAGUAACACGUGAGUAACCUGCCCCUGACUUUGGGAUAACUUCAGGAAACUGGGGCUAAUACCGGAUAGGAGCUCCUGCUGCAUGGUGGGGGUUGGAAAGUUUCGGCGGUUGGGGAUGGACUCGCGGCUUAUCAGCUUGUUGGUGGGGUAGUGGCUUACCAAGGCUUUGACGGGUAGCCGGCCUGAGAGGGUGACCGGCCACCUUGGGACUAAGGUACGGCCCAGACUCCUACGGGAGGCAGCAGUGGGGAAUAUUGCACAAUGGGCGGAAGCCUGAUGCAGCAACGCCGCGUGCGGGAUGACGGCCUUCGGGUUGUAAACCGCUUUCGCCUGUGACGAAGCGUGAGUGACGGUAAUGGGUAAAGAAGCACCGGCUAACUACGUG